UUUGAUAUGGACACAUUCAAAAUGGAGAAAAAAGCCAAGGUUAUCAAGAAUAAAAACAGACAUAACCAUUACUCAUACAAGCAAGAAGUCUUGAAGAUAGAUUUUACAAAUCUAUCAUAAUUCAUUAAAAAAAAAAUAGUAGUAAACUAUAGACACAGAAGAAUUCAAUUUGCAAUUUUAAUAGAUUGAGUGAAUAAUAAUAAUAUAAGCUCACAGCAGGAACAAGUUGUUAUAUUAUAAUGAAAAAGAAGAAAACUGAGAAAGGACUUAACUUUAGGCAACAUUAUUUUAAGGGAAAAAAAAAACUACUUAAUUGGUGCCCACGCCAUACCCAAAACGUCAAUCAGGUUUUUAAAGGAACAAACUCAUAGAGGAUACCAACUUGAUCUUUUUUCAAAUGAUCAAAAUUGUUGACAUUAAUCUUGGAGUUAAGUAGAGGAAUGUGAUGGCUCCUUAAGUACAAUUGACUAAAUGAUAGUGUUGAUUGUAUCAAAUCAAAUAUUCAAAUAUGUGUGCCAAAAGGAUACUUCAACAGAUGGAGUACAAGAUGUUUGCUGAUGAUUGUGUUACAUGAAAUCUUAGUUUUUGUCAAAUUAAUAAACUUAUAUUUAAGUCUAAGAUGAUCACAUCUAAGAUUAAACACAUGUCAUAAACAUACAAAAAGUAAACAUAACAUGAAACCAUGUUCAUGGAUUUUCACAUUAUCCAACAAAUAAAUAGAAUUAGCUCAUAGACAGCUUAGAAACAACUAAGUACCGAAAAACAAGAUUGCACAUUCUUUAACAUAAAAAUGAGAAACAUAAAAAGAAAAAUAAAAAAACACAACAAUCCCCUUCAAUCUUCAAGUUGCAACCUCUGAUUCAUCUUAUGUAACUCGCUAGCCCUUAAUUAGGGUUUCUUUUCCUUUUAUAGUACAAUGGUAUCAUAUGCAUGACAACUUUCUCCUUUCCUUACACCUUUUUGAUUGGAAUUUAGUUAAUUUAUAUUAGCAUUUUUAGAUAUAGAAAAUAAUAAUAGAGUAAAAAGGUUAUUAGAAAAACAUAUCUGCUAGUCAUAAGUGAGCAUGGCAUUCACAUUGAAGUAGUUGAAUGACAAGUUGAUAUGGAUUUUAAAGUCUUUAUCAUGUUGGGUGCAUUUAAGCCUUUUAUUUAUUAGGACAUGUAAGACUUCUCUUUUCUUUUCGAAUAUGAAAGUAUCUAUGACUGAUAAACUUCAAAAAUUAUGCAUAACACAGUAAUGAAGAAGAAAUAUAAAAGUUAGCUGUCCAGAGUUAGCAACACUAUCUAAUGUUUAAAUGCAAUUUUCUUCUGCUACAUUGGUGUAGAGUGAAAAUCAUGAAAUGUUAUUUGAUGUUAACCACUUUGCUUGAUUUUAAAGCAUAAUAUGUAAUUUUUUUUGUUGUUCCAAGAUGUAUACAUCAAUCGAUUUUUUAAAUAGUUAAUAAUAAAGAGUGUGACUGUGUUCUAGAGUGUGGUUAAAAAAGCUUGUGAUUUUCUUUCUCAAUUAAGUUCAAAGGUUCUGUUUGUAGUUAUUAUAUCUAAAGUACAUACUAGUUUUAAAUUUAAGAGUCAGAUUUUUUUAAAAGAUUUUUCAUUUAAGUUUGUGGCGUUCCUUUAGUAAGUGUUAUGUAAAGGUCCACUCUACAUAACAUGUUCCUUUAGUAAGUGUUAUGUAAAGGUCCACUCUACAUAACAUAUAAUUCCUCUGUCCCAAACUAAAUUACCUACUUGCAAAAUAAAAAAGGAUCUCAAAAUAAUUAAUCUUACAUUUUUUAAAACAUAAUUAAAUAAUUAAUACUACUUACAUUAUUUUUAAAUUUUACUAAAUGUUAUUUUGAUGAGUUUAGAUCUUAGAGAAGACUAUUUAUACCCACAAGAGUGGCAAAUUAAAGAUGGAGAAACUCUUCCAUCAAAAUAAUAUUUAGCAAAAUUUAAUUGAUUAGAGUUAUAUUAGAUUCAACAUGUUAUACAUUUGCCGUUGAAGUUGAAAUAACAUUUACCGUUGAAACAACAUUUGCUGUUGAAAAAAGACCUACAACGUAAAAUAUAGAAUUCACGUUUGUCAACUUUUAGUUCUAAAUUCGAAUAGGCCCCGUGAAGCAAGAAAUAAGUUUAAAGAAAACCAAGCGUUCUUGUUGGCUAGAAGUGGUUGGAUAGGUUUUGGUCAAGAAAAGAAUACAAAGGUCAACCCACUAUUUUACAAUUGAUUCCAAAUACUACAACAACGGUCAACCCACUAUUUUACCCUUCUAAAAUUCACUCGAUUUAUAAGCACAAAUCACAACCAAGUCACUAAUGAUAAGUGCUAGAGAACAUAUGAGAAAAGUACUGUGCAUUUCUGAGCCCUUGGAUCACUUUUCUUAUACUACACACAACUAAGAACAAAUUAA